CGCCGCUUCAUAAGGGCACUCUAAGGAUGACUGCCGGUGACAAACCGGAGGAAGGUGGGGAUGACGUCAAGUCCUCAUGGCCCUUAUGGCUGGGGCUACCCACGUCUUCCAAUGGCCGGUACAAAGGGAUGCCAACCCGCGAGGUGUAGCCAAUCCCAUAAAACCGGUCUCAGUCCGGAUAGCAGUCUGCAACUCGCCUGCAUGAAGUCGGAAUCGCUAGUAAUCGCGAU
rnacentral:rRNA from 1 species